UCUGUAAUAUCAGCUGGUAAUCCUGAGUUACUGAUUAUCUCAGGAUUUUGGUUGAUAUUAAACA
ncrna:Lottia gigantea (owl limpet) microRNA lgi-mir-216b precursor